GAUUUACUGUGAUGUUCAGAUCUUACAUAGCAAGAAAGACUAGAAGAGAAGAAUUUUUAAGACAAUGACUUUAGAUUCAAGAAGCAAGGAAAUAAAGCAAACAUGAGGAAAAGAAGAUUUAUCAGGAGAAACUGCAGCACAGUGGAUGGGGGAGCAAAGGAAGAUGAAGUGGAUGUAGAACUACCCUUCCAUGGUUCAAGUCAGAACUAGAUGUUUCUCCAUCUAAGAAAUGAGGAUGAUACUUUCUCUUCCCUUGAAAAGCACUUUGAGAUCUAUGCAUAAAAAGAGCUAUAUAA